rnacentral:rRNA from 1 species
UCCGUAGGGUGAACCUGCGGA